rnacentral:rRNA from 1 species
GACGAACGCUGGCGGCAUGCUUAACACAUGCAAGUCGAACGAGAAUCUGCGGAUCGAGGAUUCGUCCAAGUGAAGCAGAGGACAGUGGCGGACGGGUGAGUAACGCGUGAGGAACCUGCCUUUCAGAGGGGGACAACAGUUGGAAACGACUGCUAAUACCGCAUAACGCAUAGAGGUCGCAUGGUCUUUAUGCCAAAGAUUUAUCGCUGAAAGAUGGCCUCGCGUCUGAUUAGCUAGUUGGUGAGGUAACGGCCCACCAAGGCGACGAUCAGUAGCCGGACUGAGAGGUUGAACGGCCACAUUGGGACUGAGAUACGGCCCAGACUCCUACGGGAGGCAGCAGUGGGGAAUAUUGGGCAAUGGGCGCAAGCCUGACCCAGCAAUGCCGCGUGAAGGAAGAAAGGCUUUCGGGUUGUAAACUUCUUUGUCAGGGACGAGCAGAAGACGGUACCUGACGAAUAAGCCACGGCUAACUACGUGCCAG